rnacentral:lncRNA from 1 species
CAUAUGGAGGUUCCCAGGCCAGGGCUUAAAUUGGAGCUGUAGCUGCCAGCCUAGGCCACAGCCACAGCCACAGCAACUCCAGAUCCAAGCCGCGUCUGAGACCUAUACCACAGUUCACACUGAGCAAGGCCAGGGAUCAAACGUGUGUCCUCAUGGAUACCAGAAGAGUGGUAAUCUAUCAUACAAAGGAAGCAAUCUCCCAUGGUCACUCGGGCACUAAAAAGAUACCAGGCCAAAAAUAUUUCCCUUCAUCACAUUCCUUUUCUUCCUAUUAUGAAUCUCAACUAGUCUUCUCUGGGCCUAAGAGAUCUUUCCUGUAAGCCUGACACUAUUAAUGAAAAAUUAGAUUUAGAAUUCUUCCCUGACAUAAACUGAUAGAUGUUAAGAUUAAGAAGAGGUUUAGAGGUGUACUUGUAUUCCUACUGUGACCUCUAAAUAGCAUAUUCUAUUCCCAACGUACAAAAGAAACUGAAAUUGAAGAUUAACAUCACAGGUAAUAUAUUUUGGCAUUAUGUGUCUAAUAUGCUUCUAUAAUCAUUAAUUAUUUGAAUUGUCAUGUAAAAUGAGAACCAUUUGUUAACAUUUAAUAUACUGAACAUGCAGGGAAUCAAAAGUAAUAAAUGAAGGUGGUUAGGAGCUAAUGAGAAGAGCUGAAGGGUGAUAGGGCCAAUAUCAUUACUAUCUUGUCAACAAAGGAGACCCAUCUGUACACCAACAAACCAGAGCAAAACGGCAAAGCGAUAAUGCUAUUGUUGUAUAUGGCCAAAGAAAUAAGCUAAUUAUCUUUCUUCAAAGAUGGGCUGUGUCUGAUUAGGAUAUUUACUUUAAAAAACUAAUGUAUAUUGUUCUGUAUCCUUAUAGUGGAAAAUUAAGAAUACAUUAUUCUACUAUUGAAGAUUGAACUAAAUCUACAGGACUUUUAGAUCUAUACAGCAUGACAUAUAUAGAAAUAAAAGCAAAUGAGUAUGAAUUUCCAGAUCUUUAUAAUUCAGAUUUCAUUGCCAUCAAGAUGGUUUCAUAAUUCAAGAUAAUGUAAAACAUCACCCAAUUCAGAGUAAAACGGGGCGAGGAGUUUUGGCUUACUAAAAUGUACAAAUCAUAGGGUAGUUUUUAAUCAGAGUAGACUUCUGCAUAUAGGUAGAAUUUAAUACACAUUAUAAACUUAUCUGUUUAAUUAAUAAUUGGAACUAUGUAUAUAACUUUAAUAAGCUCUAUGCUAAGACUGAAUGAACAUUUUCUAAUUUAGUUUUCACAAUAGCCCUAUGAACUUGAUCCAUCUUUCAUUCCUGUUUUAGGGUUAAAGAAACUAAAGCACAGUUAUCCAAGGCAUAUCAGCUAUAAGUGAUGAAAUCCACAUAUAAUGUCUUCUAAUAUUCAGUUAAAUUUUUUUCUAUGAAAAUUGUUUUUUGUUUUUUUGUUUUAUUUAUUUAUUUAUUUGCUUUUUAGGGCUGCAUCCAUGGCAUAUGGAGAUUCCCAGACUAGGGGUCGAAUUGGAGCUAUAGCUGCCAGCCUAUGCCAUAGUCACAGCAACAUAGGAUCUUAGUCGUGUCUGUGACCUACACCACAGCAACACCAGAUUCUUAACAAAAUGAGCAAGGCCAGGGAUCAAACCCACAACCUCAUGGUUACUAGUCGGAUUCGUUUCCACUGUGCCACAACAGGAACAGCUCUAGGAAAAUUGUUAAAGCAAAAUAAUUUUAGUCUUCUGGCUUUAUGAAAUCUUUGAAAUUAAGGCAGAUUUCCCUAUUAAGAUUAAAAUUUGUUAGCAGAAAAAAAUUUUUAAUAAAUACAACUUUCAGAUUUGGGCUUCUUAAUGUAAAAAGUAAGUGUUUUAGCCAAAUCUAAAAUUCCGUGGUGCCAUAUAUGCAAAUGCUUAAUUAUUGAAAAAAGUCACAAAUGUACCAAAUUUUUAAGAGUCAACAAUAAUUCUUCCAACACCAGGUGUUCAUAGAUUUUCCAAAUAUUAUGGAGGAUCACUUUAUGAUAUAAUAGUAAAGACUGGACUAGAACACACAUACCAUUUAACUGUGCUUCAAAUGUUAGAUGGCAUUAUACCUAAAUCCUUUUCCAAACACUUCCAUUUUACUUUCAGUGAUUCAUUGGGGGGAAUGGCAAUUAGUGUCAUGCAUAAUAAAUAAACAGUAAGAAUGUAGUUAACUUAUUUACAAUAAUAUUUCUUAAUAUGUAUAAAUAUAAAGACCACUUGCACUGAAUUAAAUCACAUUCUGAAUGCCAAUAACCUAACACAGUGCCUGGCACAUAUUGGAUGCUGAAUAAUGAUUACUUUCCAUUUCUUUUUUCUAUAUAACUCUUCCAAGAAAUUUAAUGAAAAGGGCAAUUAACUCACAUGAUCUGUGUAUAGUGUUCAUUUAUUAAAGCACAUCACACAAUUAAUUCAAUAUCUAUGGGUCUUUACAGCCUCUACUGCUCUUUCAGGGCUGAAAAAAUUUAGUAGUCACUUGGACAGGCAAUUUUACUUGGUGCAAAUAUAGAAAACGAUCUAUAAAUUUUAUUCAAAACCAAAAAGUCAUUUUUACUACCUUCUGCAUGAUAGGUAGCCCUAUCCUUUAGAAUGUUUGCUGACCCAAUGACUAAUUAAUAUCAAAGAAGACUCUAACUACUUCAUAAAUGUCAACCACCUAGCACCAUCAAACUUUAAAAGACCCUCCUAGUGUCUGUGGGUCCCCUUGAGGGACAAGGACAAAGAAAGAGUGUGUGCUUGUUGAUAAUGACUUUUAGCAACACCCCUGCUGGCUCCUUGGACACUGGCAAUGGGAGAGUCUGGGUUAAUACUUCUUCACCUUGAGUGUGUUUCAGAGACACUGAGCAACUUGUUACUAAUUCUGAUUCCAAGGUCCUAGCCCCAGAUUUUCUGAUUCAGUAGAUCUCUAAAGUAGAUUCCAGACUUCUCCAAUUUUCACAAAACUCCUAAGAGAUUCUCAUCCAGACUGUUCAAGAAAUACGCUUUUGAAGAUACAGAGAGCUGGACCCAGUCUGAAAUCACCAAAGAGAGAAAGGAAGAAGAAAACGUUACCUAUUUGGUUCUGCUCUCCACAACCUUAGCCCACUCCUACAAAGAACAGGCUAGGGUUUUCUAAAAACUCGCACCUCUAUGAAGGAAUUGGAGAAUGUGAUUCUAACUGAUUGUAUCCCAUUAGCUUUCUUUAGAUACAGGUAUGAAGCAGUGGCUGAGACUGGAGGGACUGUGGCCCAGUAAACCUAGCAAGCUGGGUUUGACUUUCCUCCCCAGUGGGUGAAUGCAGUGGUGUUCUCUUCUUAACCUCUCUAAUUGAAUUGCAAGCCAAUCUCCUUAGUAACCUGUUCUUUGUUCAAGAUAACUACCAGGUGCCUUCUAGCCUCAAAGCUACAGAAAGGUCUUCCUACAAGCACUCUUUUUCAAAUCUCUUUAUCCUCCCCAGCAGGUCCUUUAUAGUCUCUUCUCUCCCACUCCAUGCAUGGAUACUAGAUCUGUGAAACUCCUGACAAUCUGAAGACUGGAAACCAGGCAGGUAAAAUAGAAGCAUCCUUUCUCUUUCAUUUUUAAUUUAAGUGGUUAAUUUUACAGGUUGACGCAGCUGUAAGAUACAAUAUCUAUAAGAGGAGAAAGAGCUAAUAGAUUUUUAUCAGCUGUGUCUCCUGAGGUGUGGACGGCCACCCUCCUCUUGAUUCUAAACCUCAACAAAAAAAUGCUGAAAGAAGUAGAUAAAGCUCUUUGAAGAUGUUUUCAUUGGAGUGAAGCUGCUGCAGUGGUACCCCAAAGUGGUACUUCUGUGGCACAUGAAGUUAUAAAUAUGCAAAUAAAAUCACUGGGUGCUACUAGCCUAACCAUUCAAAGUAAAGUGAUUAUCAAAUCAACUGACAGCUUAAAGCCAGUACACCCCUUGCUAUAAUAGCUUCAGCACAGAUUUUUGCUUAAAGAUAUCAUCCCAUCCCUGAUAAGAUGGGGAAGGGAGCUCCCAGGAUUCCUCUUGUAAAUGUUAAGGUGGUAUUCUGCAAAGCU